rnacentral:rRNA from 1 species
CCUAGGGCGGCUGCAGUGAGGAAUAUUGGUCAAUGGACGAGAGUCUGAACCAGCCAAGUAGCAUGAAGGUCUUCGGAUUGUAAAGUUCUGUGAUGGGGGAUGAACACAAUGACGGUACCCCAAUAGCAAGCCACGGCUAACUACGUGCCAGCAGCCGCGGUAAUACGUAGGUGGCAAGCGUUAUCCGGAAUGACUGGGCGUAAAGGGUGCGUAGGUGGUUUAGUAAGUUGGCGGUGUAAUUCCGGGGCUCAACCUCGGCGCUACCGCCAAAACUAUUAGACUAGAGUGCAGGAGGGGUAAGUGGAAUUCCUAGUGUAGCGGUGGAAUGCGUAGAUAUUAGGAGGAACAUCAGGGGCGAAGGCGACUUACUGGACUGUAACUGACACUGAGGCACGAAAGCGUGGGGAGCAAACAGGAUUAGAUACCCUAGUAGUC